CCUAAUGCGGAGUCCAUUUUAGGUAAAGUUAUACUUGUCAACCCUGUUUGAUGGUGGAGGGCUGUCCGCUACUGUGGCAACACCACCAACUUAUACAAAUACACGAGAAACCACGAGAAAGGGAACUCCCGAGCUGUAAAAGAAAGGAAGAGAGGAGGGAAACCCCUCAGACUGACCCAGAACCCCGGCACAUAGACAGAGGUCUCUGGCAGAGUCCUUUCGGAGACGCGAAGAAUAUCCAGGGUUACAGAGAGGAGGCCUGAAGCCUGUUCCAGACAAGCCAGGGCAGGCGGCAGGGGAAGACUCUGUAUGGCAUGGAAGUUCACCAGAGGACACACACAUGUUACAAGGAACACAAGUGAAAGAACUCCACUGCGGGGUCUCAGAGUUCCCACAUCCAUGAUCUCAAAGGACUGGCCGGGGAGCAGGUGGAAAUGAAAUCUCUGCACCAGUUUGGCCAGCACAACCUUUGCCUCCAUCUGCACAGAAGGAACAUGGGUAAUAAAUCAGUACGGGGCUCCAGGGCGUGUAGUGGUUAAGGCAUUAUAGUAAAAUCAUUAAAAGCAAAGUGAAUAAAAAUAAUAACAAUAGUAAUAAUAAACUCA